rnacentral:rRNA from 1 species
ACCAGACUUGGACCCGGUGAAUCAUCCAGCGUUCUCGCUGGUGCACUUUGCCGGGCUCAGGCCAGCAUCGGUUCGGGUGGCAGGAUAAAGGCCUUGGGAAUGUAGCUUCUUUCGGGGAGUGUUAUAGCCCUCGGUGCAAUGCCGCCUACCUGGACCGAGGACCGCGCUUCGGCUAGGAUGCUGGCGUAAUGGUUGUAAGCGA